UACGGGGGGGGCAAGCGUUGUUCGGAAUUACUGGGCGUAAAGGGCUCGUAGGCGGCCUACUACGUCAGACGUGAAAUCCCUCGGCUUAACCGGGGAACUGCGUCUGAUACUGGAUGGCUAGAGAUUGGGAGAGGGAUGCGGAAUUCCAGGUGUAGCGGUGAAAUGCGUAGAUAUCUGGAGGAACACCGGUGGCGAAGGCGGCAUCCUGGACCAACACUGACGCUGAGGAGCGAAAGCCAGGGGAGCAAACGGG
rnacentral:rRNA from 1 species